UGGGGAAUAUUGCACAAUGGGCGCAAGCCUGAUGCAGCCAUGCCGCGUGUAUGAAGAAGGCCUUCGGGUUGUAAAGUACUUUCAGUCGGGAGGAAGGUGGUAAGGUUAAUAACCUUAUCAAUUGACGUUACCGACAGAAGAAGCACCGGCUAACUCCGUGCCAGCAGCCGCGGUAAUACGGAGGGUGCAAGCGUUAAUAGGAAUUACUGGGCGUAAAGCGCACGCAGGCGGUUGAUUGAGUCAGAUGUGAAAUCCCCGGGCUUAACCCGGGAAUUGCAUCUGAUACUGGUCAGCUAGAGUCUUGUAGAGGGGGGUAGAAUUCCAUGUGUAGCGGUGAAAUGCGUAGAGAUGUGGAGGAAUACCGGUGGCGAAGGCGGCCCCCUGGACAAAGACUGACGCUCAGGUGCGAAAGCGUGGGGAGCAAACA
rnacentral:rRNA from 1 species